AGUACCCUGCGGGGUGCGUGAUAGAUCUUUUUUUAACCCACAUUUCGUUAUAAGGGACGCUGGAUCAGCCCGUGGUUCGCAGGCCUCCCGGCUGCCGUUCGCGGCUGGAAGUUGGAAGCGGUAAAGCGUGCUGGAGGCGACCCACCUGUCCUUGAAG
rnacentral:sRNA from 1 species